AGGGUAAAAUUUCAUUUUACAUAACAAAUUUUGGCGAAGAAGCAACCCAAUUUGGUACAGCAGCAGCCCUUAAUCCCGACGAUCUAGUAUACGCUCAAUACAGAGAAACUGGGGUAUUGUUAUGGCGCGGUUUCACUUCGGACGAUAUUAUAAAUCAGUGUUUUGCCAACAAGCUGGCUGCUUGCAAAGGACGGCAAACCCCAACACAUUAUGGUUCGAAAAAGCUAAAUUUUGUUACAAUAUCGUCCCCUCUAGCUACACAGAUCGCACAAGGUACUG